rnacentral:rRNA from 1 species
GAUGAACGCUGGCGGCGUGCCUAACACAUGCAAGUCGAGCGGCAGCGAGGGGUGCUUGCACCCUGUCGGCGAGCGGCGGACGGCUGAGUAACGCGUGGGAACGUGCCCCAAAGUGAGGAAUAACUGCCCGAAAGGGUAGCUAAUACCGCAUAUUAUCUUCGGAUCAAAGGAUUUAUCCGCUUUGGGAGCGGCUCGCGUCGGAUUAGGUAGUUGGUGAGGUAAUGGCUCACCAAGCCGACGAUCCGUAGCUGGUCUGAGAGGAUGACCAGCCAGACUGGAACUGAGACACGGUCCAGAAUCCUACGGGAGGCAGCAGUGAGGAAUCUUCCACAAUGGGCGAAAGCCUGAUGGAGCAACGCCGCGUGCAGGACGAAGGCCUUCGGGUUGUAAACUGCUUUUAUAAGUGAGGAAUAUGACGGUAACUUAUGAAUAAGGAUCGGCUAACUACGUG